rnacentral:rRNA from 1 species
UACGUAGGGUCCGAGCGUUGUCCGGAAUUAUUGGGCGUAAAGGGCUCGUAGGCGGUUUGUCGCGUCGGGAGUGAAAACACGGGGCUUAACCCCGUGCCUGCUUCCGAUACGGGCAGACUAGAGGUAUGCAGGGGAGAACGGAAUUCCUGGUGUAGCGGUGAAAUGCGCAGAUAUCAGGAGGAACACCGGUGGCGAAGGCGGGUCUCUGGGCAACAACUGACGCUGAGGAGCGAAAGCGUGGGGAGCGAACAGG